GAGAGAAGGGAUGACACAGUAGGAUAAGCUAAGCACACUGUUGGUUAUGUGUGCCCAAGCAUUGAGGCAGUCAAAGUAGGCAAAUCCGCUUUGAUAAUGCUGGGGUGUGAUGGGGAGCGAAAUUUAGUAGCGAAGUAGCUGAUUUCACACUGUCAAGAAAAGUCUCUAUCGAGGUUAAAGGUACCCGUACCGCAAACCGACACAGGUGGGUGAGGAGAGUAUCCUAAGGCCAGCGAGAGAACUGUUGUUAAGGAACUCGGCAAAAUGACCCCGUAACUUAGGGAUAAGGGGUGCCACCAUCAGGUGGCCGCAGAGAAUAGGCCCAAGCGACUGUUUACCAAAAACAUAGGUUUCUGCUAAGUCGCAAGACGAUGUAUAGGAGCUGACGCCUGCCCGGUGCUGGAAGGUUAAGGGGAUCUGUUAGAGCAAUCGAAGCAGUGAACUUAAGCCCCAGUAAACGGCGGCCGUAACUAUAACGGUCCUAAGGUAGCGAAAUUCCUUGUCGGGUAAGUUCCGACCCGCACGAAAGGCGUAACGAUUUGGGCACUGUCUCAACAACAGACUCGGUGAAAUUGUAAUUCCGGUGAAGAUGCCGGAUACCUG
rnacentral:rRNA from 1 species